rnacentral:lncRNA from 1 species
AAUCUUUGAACUUAAAAUUCAGAACUUUCAUUUGGUUUUGGACAAAGAGUGAUUUGAAGACUGUUCAUGUACCUGUCUCUCUGCUCUGGAUUGUGUUUGCAGUCUACCACCUACCUGUUCACUUUGCUCUGAGUGUCCUAACUGCAAGACUAUCUUUGGAUUGUGGCAGUUUAUAUUGAAGAAAUGAGUUGGAACAGAGGUCUGGGGAGCUAUGUGAUGUGGAAAUAACAUUUCUUGUUAUUUUGGAUAGUUACAGGGAUCGACUGAGUAAGAGACAUGGGAAAGUCCAAGAUGGUUUGAAGCAAAUUAUCAGAGGAAAUAUCUGUGAAGACUUGUCACUAUUUUGUGGUGAUAUAUUUUUGGAAGCAUUUUUUUCCUCUGUUAAUGUAACAUUGUAAUACUUCAGUUACAGGCAUCAGAGUUUAUUUUGGAUAAGUAAGUUGGAAAACUGCUAUCUUGCAAUUUAGAAAUGAUCCAUUUU